CCCUCAGGGCUGGCCACACCCCUGCUCCUGUCCCCCUCUGAUGGCAAAUCAGAGAGAAAUUCCUCCCUGUGAGGGUACACAGAGAAGCUGCUCCUGGAUCCCUGGAAGUGUGAGAGGCCAGGUUGGAGCCUGGGACAGUGGAAGGUGACACUGCCACUGCAGGGGGUGGCACUGGAAGGACUUCAACGCCAUGGCAGAGGGAAAAGGGCUCCACAGCCCAAGGAAAGGAGCUGCAAACCUCAAGAAAAUGUUGUGGAAGAAGAAAAAGGAGAUGCUGUGGAUACAGGAAAAGGAGUCAGAGGAUGUUUUGGGAGCACUCCCUGAAAUCAUGGAGCCACUCUUCCCUCUGCAGGGAAACCAAAACCUGGGGAGAUGGGCAUCCCACUGGAACAGAUCCCAACCUGUACAGCCAGGAGAGAAGCCUGGGCCUGAUGCACAACAGGGGCAGGCAGGGCAGCAGGGAGGCAGCAGGGAAGGAGCUGCUCUGUGUCCAGGGGCAGGAAGGAGCUGCUCCAUCUCCCAGCAUUGCUCCAUGUCCCAGUGUCAGCAAGGAGCUGCUCCAUGUCCCAGUGAAGGGAAGGAGCUGCUCUGUGUCCAGGGGCAGGAAGGAGCUGCUCUGUGUCCCAGUGUCAGGAAGGAGCUGCUCUGUGUCCCAGUGUCAGGAAGGAGCUGCUCUGUGUCCCAGUGUCAGGAAGGAGCUGCUCCAUGUCCCAGUGUCAGGAAGGAGCUGCUCCAUGUCCCAGUGUCAGGAAGGAGCUGCUCCAUGUCCCAGUGUCAGGAAGGAGCUGCUCCAUGUCCCAGGGGAAGGGAAGGAGCUGCUCCAUGUCCCAGCCUCAGAGAAGGAGCUGCUCUGUGUCCAGGGGCAGGGAAGGAGCUGCUCUGUCUCUCAGUGUCAGGGAAGGAGCUGCUCUGUCUCUCAGUGUCAGGGAAGGAGCUGCUCUGUCUCUCAGUGUCAGGGAGGAGCUGCUCCCUGUCCCAGCAUUGCUCUGUCUCUCAGUGUCAGGGAGGAGCUCCUCCCUGUCCCAGCCCCGCCUGGCAGUGCCGGGCACACGAUCCCAGCACGAGUGAGGUGUUGGAAGCCGGGGCUGUUUUCCUGCAGCUGUGCCAACCAUUGUAUUGAAAUCUUUUCCUCUCCGUCAGCACAGCACAAGGAGGCCCCUGUGGGAAGGGAGCAGGGGACAAACACAGAAAGAGGAUCCCAAAACUGGUUGGGCCAGGGAUCUGUCAGCCCUGGCAACAAACUCCUUCCCUGCUAA
rnacentral:lncRNA from 1 species